CCCUCCGGAAUUCCUUAUUGACCUAUGUAGCUGAGGUGCGAGUAUUGCAGGAGCAAAGGCCUCCGGUUUCUUGGCUCCCCUCUCUCCAGGUUGGAAUGGAAGGAGCCGGCAUACCACGUGACCAAGUUUGGCAAGUCACGUGAUGAGGCACCGGCCGUAACUACGCCUCGGAAGUCUAGCUGUGGCGGAGCUCCUGGUCACCUUGGCGGUGGGCUCUUAGGAGCAGAGAGCCCUCUCUUACCAUGUCUGGCUGUCGGCGACCCAGAUGCCAGGUGAUGGUCAUCUGAAGACAGGCCUGUCGGACGUCAGUUUAUAUGCAGGUCUCAUGCAGUGUUGCUCUUUAUCUGAACUGGUGAUGCUGGACACAGGGAACAACCCAGGUAAUACCUCUGGUGUCAAGAUGUCAAAGCAGCUCAAAUUGGUCUGACAUUUCUCAGAAAGUUCAUGAAAGAUGCUGAGUGUCAUAGAAAGCCCCAAGUCCGCACGAGGAGAGAAGAUACCUGAGGACAAACAACUCCUAGUAAUAGUUAUAAUAAUUGCAAGAACUAAUUUUUUCGUAGCUUUUAGCCUGUGUCACACUGUUGUGUUAUGUUGUUUUAUCCUCAUCAACCCCACGAUGGGGCUCCUGUCAUCCCCAUUUAGAGAUGAGGACACUGAGCAUGCAUCUGGUAAGUACUGAGGCCAGGAUUGAGGAUUCUGACCCCGGCAAUCUGAAUCUGGAGCCUGAACACGUAGCCUCGGUGCCAUUUGUAGGCUCAGCCUUCCUGUGUGUCCUGAUAACAACUCAGCUGUUUGCCAGGGGAUGAAGUUGCUAUGGUGAGUGGAGAUAGAGGGCUGAACUAGUAAAGUGUGAGUGGAGGCUUAACCUGUUCAAGGUGAGCAGAAGAUGGUGAUGCAGGAGCACCGUGAGAUCAGUAAAAUCCAAGAUUCUGUUAAUCACACUGGUCUCCAUCUUACCUGUGUUACCCUGGACUCAAAAGCCCACAGCUACUAUUGGCCAGGCUUGGGGGGUUGGAGUAGAGAUCCCCAGUGGAAACACAGUUCAGCUGUUCUCCUUACCAGCUACUCACUUGCGUAUCUUGUCAGCAUUUCAAACUCCACGUACUUAAACCUAAGUACCUUAUCUUUGCUUCCAAACUGGCUUCUUCUGACUUUGCUGUUUCUGACAAUUGCUCUGGUUCAUUAGCUUGUAUCAGUUUUGUCCCUUUUCUCCCAUGUUCCCUAUAUCUAAGGUUUCAUCAGGAUUCUGAGAACAUUUUUAAGCAAGCACAAGCCAUGUUGCUGCAUUCUGCCUAGCAAUAGAUUCUGAACUCACUUUUUAAUAAAAUUACAGUAUUUCUAGGUUGGUACAACCCACCCACCCCGUAGGGCUCUUAGGUGUUGCAGAACCUUAGACCUCUGACCUUUCUCUCUCCAGUCUUAUACUCAGGCAUGCUGCAGCUACUGUUUCCUCCCCUCACCAAGUCUGUGAUUGUUUUCCUUUUCAUUCCCGUCACCACCUUGCCAAUCCAUGUCCUUCUCCACCUCUCUCCUGGGCAGGUAUAGGUAGCCUGCUGGGGUGCUCUCCUUGCCUACUUAGCAGACUCCUCAGUUAGGGUAGAACAUUCUCCAUCAAUACUGUAGGGUUUAUGGGCUGUCUCUUGUAAUUUCAAAUUCUAGUUCCAGACAUUGUUCUCUGGUUGGUUCUUAUGCACAUCACUUGUCUGCCUGGCUCAAUAGUAAGUCCCCUAAGGCAGGCAUGGGGCUUUUGUUUUACUAACCAUAUUCCACCUAUAUACUCCAGGCCCAUUGCUAGAUUGUCAGAUCUCUGAGAAUUUCAGAGGGCUACCUUAAUAAUAUGUCCUGAAGAAAUGUUAAGUGACUCAACUUAAUUAAAAUGUCUCAAGAUAUUGA